GCAGCUCCGAUCCGUUAGGCGCCCCGACUGGCGGGGCAGCACUGGCGCAGUGGCUCCGCUCGGCCCGGUCCCUGUCCCGGGAGCGGGGCCGGCCUGGGAGCGGAAACUCAAGAACAGGAAUAGAAGUCCAUCCUUCCAAUAUCCUCCCAUGCCCUCAUGGCAGUCAGUUUCCGUUCUUGCUGAAGGCGCCAGGCAUCCUGUCUCCAGAGGAAACCCCUUCAAGCCUUUAACCCUGAUGCCGUGGGCUCUAGAAUUGCCUGGACUGCAAACAGUGCAGAAACCACCCUGCAGGACUGUCCAUUUCAGGAGUCAGCACAGUGUUACCCAGUUCCUAGCUUGAGCACCCUGGGGCUACAAGGAAAGUAUUAGAUCCAGUCCCCCUUCCCCCGGAAGCUUGCUAUCUAGUUGCAGAGAAGGGGUGGCGGGUGUUGUGCUGGACUCCCAUCAAGAAACAGGCGGCACAGGAUGUGACUAAGUGGAAAAAGAAGAAGGCAAAAGAAAAACUGCUCGGGGAGAAAGAACAACUGAAAUAUGUCUGGCAAGUUGAUUCAAGAAACAGUUGCCCGGCCUCCAAACCUGGAUAAGUCUUCACCAAACUAGGUACAAAGACAAGUUCUUGCUAAAGGAGGAUACAAUUGUCCAUUGUGCUGGAGAGUGAUCUCAUGGUGCUACGUGUGGCCCUGUUCUGGUGAAGAGUGGCAGACGUCACCCUUUCUGAGGUAGACUGAGAAGUGUAAGGAAGAAGACCCAGGGGGACACACUGGAAUGCGCUACAAGUGUAGGCUUGUGAAACAAGCAUUGUGAAACAACUCACUUGUCCUUCCCGGAGAAUGUUCCUCAGUAGUGGCAGAUGCUCUGGAGUGAGAUCUCGAAGUGAUCUGAUACCCCGGCGAUGGCAGAUGGCGAUCAAAUACAGGUCAUCAAGCUGUGCAGAGACCACAGGACAAAACAAGACAAUGCUAGUUUUAGCAAGGAGGCUACCAGCCAGGGCACUCCUACCCCCCAAGGCCAAUCCAGAAGACCCUACAGCAGAGCCAAUGAGCGGGUACCCGAGGUAUGUCUGCCCUGGAUGUCAAGGGAUAGCUGAAGAACAAGAUUUCUGUGUAUUCUUUGGAACUAGGUGUGGUGGUACACGCCUGUAAUCCCAGCACUCAAGCAGAAGGACUGAGGGUUCAAAGUCUCUCUGGGCUAUACAGCAAGACCCUUUCAAAAAAGAAAUUGAGAAAGGAAGAAAAACUAUAAAACAAAAAUUUCCAUCUGGGAAUGUUUACAUAAACUAAGGAGUUGACAGGAAGAGACGGGCAAGUUCUGAAAGCCAAGCACAAAAGUCUUUGUCCUGAAGAAUUUACAACUUCACUUAAGUGCAUGUCGUUCUCCUGUAUGAAAUAAAUGUUGCAUAAAAGCA
rnacentral:lncRNA from 1 species